rnacentral:sRNA from 1 species
GCUGGGCAUGGUGGUGCAUACCUGUAAUCCCAGCUAUUUAGGAGGCUAAGGCAGGAAGAUUGCAAGUUUGAGGCCAGCCUGGGCAAUGUACCAUGAUCCUGUCUCAA